AUUGAACGCUGGCGGCAUGCCUUACACAUGCAAGUCGAACGGUAACAGGUCUUCGGAUGCUGACGAGUGGCGAACGGGUGAGUAAUACAUCGGAACGUGCCUAGUAGUGGGGGAUAACUACUCGAAAGAGUGGCUAAUACCGCAUGAGAUCUACGGAUGAAAGCAGGGGAUCGCAGGACCUUGUGCUACUAGAGCGGCCGAUGGCAGAUUAGGUAGUUGGUGGGAUAAAAGCUUACCAAGCCGACGAUCUGUAGCUGGUCUGAGAGGACGAUCAGCCACACUGGGACUGGGACACGGCCCAGACUCCUACGGGAGGCAGCCGUGGGGAAUUUUGGACAAUGGGCGCAAGACUGAUCCAGCAAUGCCGCGUGCAUGAUGAAGGCCUUCGGGUUGUAAACUGCUUUGGUACGGAACGAAAAGCCCCGGGUUAAUACCCUGGGGUCAUGACGGUACCGUAAGAAUAAGCACCGGCUAACUACGUGCCAGCCGCCGCAGUAA
rnacentral:rRNA from 1 species